UUUUUUGAUAAAGCAGCAACUCAUUGCUUAAUUCCUGCAAAUCAUUCACCAUUAAUGGACAGCAAGCAUUUAUUGACUACCAACUGUAUACAUAGCCCCAGGCCAGUCUUAGAACACCAACAGGAAGCAUUUCCCAACCCAGAACACCCAGCAGGUGACAGAUGCUACUGAUGUCAACAAUUCUGAGAUGAACCCAGAACCCCAGUCUAGCCAUGAGAAAAGCAUAAGACAGAUUCCAAUAGAGGGACAUUCUACAGAACACCUGACUAGGACAGGCACUGUGGCUCAUGUCUAUAAUCCCAGCACUUUGGGAGACCAAGGCAGGAUGAUCGCUUGAGGCCAAAAGUUCAAGACCAACCUGGGUGACAUGGUGAGACCCUAUCUCUACUAUUUAUAAAAAAAACAAAUUUUUUUUUAAUUAGCUGGACACGGUGGUACACGCUUGUAGUUCCAGCUACUCAGGAGGCUGAAGUGGGAGGAUUGCUUGAGCCUGGGAGGUGGAGGCUGCAGCGAGCUAUGAUUGUGUCACUGUACUACAGCCUGGGUGACAGGAUGAGACCCUGUGUCAAAA
rnacentral:lncRNA from 13 species